rnacentral:piRNA from 1 species
UGCUAAAUUGAAGAGUGAAGUGUUCC